UAAAAUCUUAGUGGCGGACGGGUGAGUAACGCGUGGGUAACCUGCCUUACACUGGGGGAUAACACUUAGAAAUAGGUGCUAAUACCGCAUAAGCGCACGAAGCCGCAUGGAUUUGUGUGAAAAACUCCGGCGGUGUAAGAUGGACCCGCGUCUGAUUAGCUUGUUGGCGGGGUAACGGCCCACCAAGGCGACGAUCAGUAGCCGGCCUGAGAGGGUGGACGGCCACAUUGGGACUGAGACACGGCCCAAACUCCUACGGAAGGCAGCAG
rnacentral:rRNA from 1 species